GGUCACUGCGCGUGAGGCCGAGACGCUGAAAGUCCGGAUUUAAAGUGCAGAAAAUUAAGCCAUUGAAUCUGCCUGUCCAUGACGUACAAAGACACACUAUGAGCCAGUAUGAUCCGACCAGACCUUACAUCAGCAUUGAGGAGUUGUCGGAGAAGAAAGAGGCUGAUUGAAGCGGGACAGAUGACAUGGAUCCAUCCUUCCACAGCCAGGAGCGCACCGACCUGUGUCCCACACUUCAUAUAAGACUGGAAGCUACACUGAUCUCACAGCUACACACCACAGACGUCUACACACUGGAGAAGAUUCAGACAGAGUCCCACAAAGAAGUCAUGACCCAGAGGCUGCAGAGAGACAUUUCAAGCCUCAUCUGAGUUUUUGUACAAUAUUUUUGCUG